rnacentral:tRNA from 1 species
GGCUCAGUAGCUUAGUUGAAUAGAGCGUCAGAUUCCGGUUCUGAAGGUCGAGGGUUUGAGUCCCUCCUGAGUCA